UCAGUUACUCAGGAGGUGCCUGAAUGUGUGGGGGUGGGAGCGUGGGAGGGGGGCUGCCUCCUCUCUCUCCUCCUUUCUUCUCUUUCUCUCUCUCCCUCUCCGCUCACCUCCCCUCUCUUCUCCCGCUAUCCCUCUCUCAUUUCCUCUCUUUCUCUCUCUUCUCCCUCUCUCCUUCAGCCUCCUCCCCGCUCUGUCUUUCUCUCCCCCUCCCUCUCUUCUCUCCCCCUCCCUCUGCCCCCCUCCCUCUCUCUUCCCUCUCCCUCCAAGUCUGGCACUGAUCGCGAACUGUUUUGCUUUGCUCCGGGAAGAGUGCAGACACAUAACGUGAAAUCCCGAGCUUUUUGCGUGGUGCAUUUAAAAUGCUUCCUUAUUUAUAUUACCCUCCUUCCCUCACCUCUCCCACCCCCUCACCAGUCCUUCCAAAUUUCCCUAGAAAUCUGUGUAAAGCGUGCCGAGGGGAAAACAUUUGCACAAAAAGUGAAGGAGCUCGCCAAGGUGGUCAAACCUGUCUUAACAGCUGGAGCUCUGCAUGAGGGUGGCCACUGCAGGAGGGGGUCUCAGAGACCACAGGAGCUGAAGAGUCUUUACCGGUGAGCCCUGGAGUCCCAG
rnacentral:lncRNA from 1 species